AACUAUAUUUAGAGAUGUCUGUGGUUGGUGAGGUAACACCAAUAAAUGUAUUGUACAAAAUCAUUUAUAUAUUUUUAUAGUGUUUCUGGGAUAAAAGUGUCCAUGUCACUGACUGAGAGAUACUUUACCAUUUAAAAAAAUAAUAAAAGCCAGAUCUCUUUUUCUGAGGCUCUAGGCUGUAUGUGGUAGGCAGCUUGUGCAUACUUAGAAAAAUAAAAUAAAAUAAAACAAAAUGAGGGUAGUCAUACAUUUUAGUCAACACCAUUUUUGCUAGAAAGCCAGAAUUGUGUUUCUCCUUUGCAUUAAAUUUGUUUUUUUGUUGCAAAACAAUUCAAAAUAUUUACUGAUCAUUGUGAAAUAAUAUUACCCGUGUUUCUAGCUUCAAUAUUUUGUUUGGUUUUUAACAAAGUACCAAAUGUGCGAAGUAGUAGCAACAUUUAAUGAAGAUGGCGAGCCUCCGGCGAAAAAGACGGCUCCCUCCAUCCAACUCGGCGCUGGCUUCAAAUGGAACCUGCAGGCGCUAUCGGCAGCAGCUGACGCGGUGCAGGGCGGCGGCAAGUCGCCCGUGUCAGCACUCAACGAGCUGGGAGUCCGGGUGCUAUACACCGUGCGGCGGCAGUCGGGCCCGGCGCACUGCCCCAGCUUCACCGUCACCGUCACGGUCAGUAGCGGACACUGUCAGCAGCUGACAACGAGCUGGGAGUCCGGGUGCUAUACACCGUGCGGCGGCAGUCGGGCCCGGCGCACUGCCCCAGCUUCACCGUCACCGUCACGGUCAGUAGCGGACACUGUCAGCAGCUGACAACGAGCUGGGAGUCCGGGUGCUAUACACCGUGCGGCGGCAGUCGGGCCCGGCGCACUGCCCCAGCUUCACCGUCACCGUCACGGUCAGUAGCGGACACUGUCAGCAGCUGACAACGAGCUGGGAGUCCGGGUGCUAUACACCGUGCGGCGGCAGUCGGGCCCGGCGCACUGCCCCAGCUUCACCGUCACCGUCACGGUCAGUAGCGGACACUGUCAGCAGCUGACAACGAGCUGGGAGUCCGGGUGCUAUACACCGUGCGGCGGCAGUCGGGCCCGGCGCACUGCCCCAGCUUCACCGUCACCGUCACGGUAGCGGACAUGACAUUCGAAGGCUGCGGGCACAGCAAGCGCGAGGCCCGCGCGGCCGCCGCGCGCGCCUGCCUGGGCACGCUGCUGGCGCGCGCCGGCCGCGUCAUCCUGCCGCCGCGGCACCAGGAGGAUAUCGACUUUGCACAGGACGAUGUGGCGAGGCUACCAAGUAA